GCCCGGGUGGUGAAAUUGGUAGACACGUACGUUUGAGGGGCGUAUGCCGAAAGGUGUGCAGAUUCGACUUCUGUUCCGGGCA
rnacentral:tRNA from 1 species